UGUCAUGAUUAUUCCUGACUCACCCUCACUGUUGCCAACUUGAGCUGCAAGUUCUCCUCCUCCUAUAUAACUGAGGCUUUGCCCCUUAUGUUCCGUGCACUCCUCUCUCUUAUUCUUUGUUACUCUUUCUUUCUUCUUCUUGUUUGUCCGGAUAACAGAGAGAGAGAGAGAGAGAAGGAGAGUCUGAGAGAGACACUGAGUAAGACCCAAGCCUUCCUCUUUCCUUAUUCUUUUUCUUCUCUUCUCUUCUCUUUCCUUCUUCUUGUUUUCUUCUUUCUCAGUUUCGUUCAAGAGACACAGAGACUAUGAGAGAGGGAGAGAGUCAAAUUGAAGGAGAGUGAGAGAAAGAGAGAUCGAAACACUGAGAGGGAGAGAACCAGAGAUGACCCGUGACCCGGAGAACCCAUGACCCGAACCCCUUCUUUCCCUUUCCGUGAUUCUUCUUCUUUCCUCCUUGUCUGGCCGAAAAAGAGAGGAAAGAGAUCGGGAGGCAGAGAUUCAUGGAGAGCCGAGAACCUGUAAAGCUGAACCCGUCAACAUCGCCGGAGAAGAGGGACCUAAACCCGAUUUCCGGUGGGUCAACGGCAGGUCAACAGUGGGUCGUCGGAGGAUGCAUUUCCCGAUAACGAGUUAAGCGACUGCGGAUGUAACAGUUUGUAGACAAAGAUUAGUGCCGAAGAGGUUUUAAAGCUAAGGAUGCAUAGAUUGUAUUUUGUUUAUAGUUUUCUAUGUUUAUAACAUUUUAUGUUGACAAGAUUGCUAAUAAUUUUCAUGUAUUCUCUUGUAUCACUAUUGACACAUGUUUUCAUGUAUUUGUUCUAAGUAUUCUCUAAUGGAUGUCUAGAGGUAUUUUAGUUAGAAGCUCUGUGUUAUUUAAUUCCAAGUCAGUUGGAUAUACUAUAUUUCGCUGCCAAAUCUUAACUCUGAUAAUGAUUGUAGUAAAGUCACGUGAAAAUAGAAAAUUAUUUUCACUUACACCUUUUUGUAAAAGGCGAGGCGUAACGGUUUGGUAUCAAAGCAGUUUGCUCUGAGGAUCGAUGGACUUGACCUUAAGAGUUUAGAAAUGACACAAGAUCUGUAGGUAUAAACCAAAUUUUUGAAAAAAAAUACUUUGUGUGAAUUUUGAUGUUGUGUGAUGUAUGCUUAUUUAUGCUUCCAUCCUUGGAUGGGUUAUGAAUGUAUGAUCUCAAUGUUUUGCUAUAUAUUUGAAAACAUAUUAAUCUGAUUUGCAUACUAAGUGAAAAUUGUACUAAGAAAAUGAUUUUGAAAUGAGGAAAAUGUUUUAAGAAUAAAAUUUCAAUAUUUGUUACCUUGGUUGCAAAAAUAAGGUUUAGAUGUGAUAAAAACAUCUUAAAAAGUUUUGUGAAAAUAAUAAAAAUAUGCAUAUUUGUAUUUUUGUUUACGAAUUAAAUAUUUGUAUCUGGAUAAGAAACACUCUUUCAGGUACUACUAAUAUGGUUCAAAAAGAUUUUGAAAUAUGCUUAAAAAAGAUUUUGGAACACAAUGGAGUUUUAUGAAAACAAAGGAUUAAUAAGUAGAAGCUUUUAAAAUAUAUAUGGCACAUAGUGCUCCUUUGAUUCUAUUUAUAAAUAAAUGUCAUCAGUUUUUCGUAUAUGACCUAGAGUUUAAAAUCUAUAAUUUUAUAUGUAUUCAAUUAAUAUUGCAAGUUUAUUUGAUCUCUCUACAAAGCUACUAGAUAAAUGAUUGUUUUAACAUUUGAUAAGCAUCUUGUUAUCAAGGUCUAAUAGAUUUAGAUAUCUUAGUGCAGAGACCUCCCACCCUGAUGACGAUCCCAGUGUAAGAUGGAUAAGAAACCUGAGGUAUGUAAAUAGAAGUAAUUUCAUGAUUAAGAUGAUUUGAUAUCUAGUAUUAUCUUGAGGUAUAGUCAUGAAAUGCUUUUUGGAGAUAUAGAUUACAGAAUCUAGAUGCUUAAUACCUUGACAAAAUUUAUGGAUAUUAAGUUGAUAAAUUUAUUAAGCGAAUAUUUCAUGUGCUUAAAGAUAAUAUUUUCUAUGACCAUAAUAAGGAUAACUUGAGGAUCAAAAGAUAAACAUUGGGGCUUUGAGGAUUAUCCGAUUGACUCUAGAAUGUAAGAAAAGAUAUGUUAUGACUGAUUCCAAAUCUGGUAUCUUUUGAAAAUAAGUGUAUAAAGCGUAGAUUACUGAUUUAUAUAUAUUUGAGGAAAUUAAUUGAUUGAAUAAUUUGAUGAUAUUUGGAGGGAUUAUCUUUCUGUGCAUCUUGGAGAAGUUUGAAUCUAUUAAUUGAUGAAUUGUUGAGGUUUUCCAGAGCUUAGGUUAAAUUAAAUUUUGAAUAUGUGAUUCAUUUAUUCUCUUUGAAAACAUUGCUUGAUGGAUAGAUAUUUUAAUUAUCAGAUUUGAGGAUAGAUUGACUACAUAAUUAAGUUGGAUUGAUAUUAAGGAUCUAAGCUAAUGAUUUUCGAGGAUGAUAGUAUUUAAACGGGGGUAAGGAAAAGGUCAUGGUACUAUAUAAAGAAAUAAGGAAAUAAAAGUUUGAGGAAUUGUGAUGAUUUUAUAAGACCAUAUCUUUUUCCUCGCACAUCUUUGAUAGGAUUGAUUAAAGGUUAUCAAGGAAAUGUGAGAAGCUCAGAAAGAAGACUGCAAUGUUUGAGGUAUGAACUGUUGAUCAUUCAGGUAUCUUGGGAUUUACAUUGCUGAGAACUUGAUAAGGAUUAUUGCAUAUGAUGAUUCAAUCGGUAGAUUUUGAAAUUAUUUAAGCAAUAAAAUUGCUGAUUAAAACCAUUGGUGAUAGGAAUUUUGCGAUCAUUAAGGAAUUACUCUUUUGAAAAGAUAUUGAUAUCCAAGCCUUUCCUUUUGAGGUAUAGAUUGAUAUUCAUAGCAUAUGAUGUCCAUGAAUGAUUUGCUUUUAGUCCUAAGUCAUACGAAAUAGUAAGAUGAAAGAUCUCAUAUUGUAACCAACAUUAGAUUCAUUGUCUUCUUCUCUAUCACUUGAAUGGUCGAUUAAUUAUCCUUGCCACUGUGUUUGUUUGAUUGAUUGAUUAAUUGUUCUUCGUCAUAAUUGAACAACGAUGAGGACGACAUCAACAAAGGCUUGCAACAUUCGGAACCAAGAAAGAUUUUCCACACCAUUGAAGGAUAACAGAAACCCUUAUGUCUUGGUAAGCCGCGCCUUGAAAUGGGUAAUCUUCUCUUAAUCUUCGCAAACACAAACCAAUGGGUUAAAGACUAGCCUAAAGAAACACCAAAAAGAAGCAAUGGACAGCAAGAUUAGAAUUACGCAUACCUAUGCUCACACCAAGAAGAUCAAGAGUUAAUACGAUACAAGUUUGCUAUUGGAUAAGCAUACAAGGUAAGUACGUAAACCUUCUUGGUUAUAUUUAAAAUUGAGUAGAGCUAGUACUCAACUUUUUGAAUUAAGAAUUUAUAUCCUUAAGAAGUACAACAUUAGCAGGAUAGCUUUAUUCAUAUAGGGUUAGUACUCACCAAGACUUUUGGAUAUAUAUAUAUAUAUAUAUAGCUAUGAAGUUGGUUUAAUUUUGACACUCUUGAUUCCUAGUUUUAGUUAUGGUAAACUUGAGGAUGAGUUUAAGUUGCUUUGGUUACUGAAUUGUGAUCAUAGUAAUUAUAAAUCUUAGUCAAAUGAAUGGAGGAAUUCUAUGGUGAUAUUUUAGAUAAUCUGAGAUAGAUGAUUUUUAAUUGAGGAUUUACAAAUUGACGUCUCAUUGGCUAAACUUGAAGAUUUACAGAGAUUAAAUAUUGAUCUUAUGGUAUUCGCCAAAUAUUGAAAUUUGAUGAUAGAUUGAUAUUUUUGAGGUAAUCUUUAAUUUCUAAGUUAUGAGAUAUGAUUCGAGUUACUGAAAGGAUUUUGAUGACCUUGUAGAAAAGGACUUAAGUGUUUGAUAUUGGAAAGCAAUACAUUAAAAUAAAUCCAUUCUUGAAGUUCAUUUGGAUAGAAAUUUUGUUUAUGGAUUUAUAGUAUUAAAUUUUUUGGAAUCAUGAUAGAAUGAUUAUGACAACUUGGAGACUAGGUCAUGAUAUACCACUGAUAUCGAUGCCUAGUUGAAAUUUAGGAAAGUGAAAAAUGCUACGUGGUAAAAAAAAUGAAGAUUGUUCCUAAAUCAGGUGACUGAUUUUGACGUUUGAUGUGAUACCUUAUUGAUUUUGGAAUGAUUGAUUUCUUGAAUUGACUAUUAAAUAAAUGUUUGAUUACUAGCUGAUCUAUAUCGAGGUUAAACCUUGCAGUGGAAUGCAAGGAGGGUGUUUAAAUUAUAAAUUGAGGUCUAUGGACUAAUUUGAAGAUAGGAUUUAAUGACAUUAUUUUCUUACACCCUUUUUGUGGAUAAAGAAGAACAAAAGAAAAUUGAUUGAAUAAGGGUUAUUUGUGGAACUUGAUUUUAAGCCUUACACUCCAGUUAAUGAUAUCAUGAAUUUUAAGGAUAGUCAUAACUGUUUAGACCAAAGUACUUAUGAUGCAAUACAAAUCUGAAUUCGAGAUAAAUUUCUGAGAUAUAUGAUGUCAACCUAGUUGAUUGGAUGAGACGACUAACUAUUUGAAUAUUGUCAUUUAAAGAAUCUCAAAGAUUAAGAUAUGAUUCAAGGUCAAACAACUGGGAAAUCUAUUUCAGUCUUCCACUAAGCCGCACUUGAGGAUGAUUGAGGUAAGUGAUGCCUUGAUUUGAAAUUUUUGCUUAGCGUGAUCUAUUAUUAUAAUAUGAUUUAUGUUUCAAGGUCUGAAGAAAUAAGGGCUAACUCUUAUUUGAGGAAUAGAAAUAGUUAGACCUGGAUUUAUGUUAAAUGAUUUUUCUAAUGGAAAGAAACUCCUACACCUAAGGAAUAAUUAAAGGACGUACCUUUAAACAAGAUGUUGGACCCUGAAUAAGAUUCUUCCCUAAGAUUGGUAGCUGGAAUUUUCAAUAACAUAAGAUGAAAUUCCAGCAAAUUACUUGAGGUAUUUGGAAAUACAAUGAUCUGGUCAGGUACUGCUAACACGGACGAAUAAAGUCGAUGAGGGUCUACGACUAGAGCAGAUCUUUACAUUGAAGCAUAGAAAUAGAAAUGGAAAUGAUGUGGAUGGUGAAGGUCAGAUAGAAGAACAUAUAAGUUAGGGUGUUAUGGCAAGAUGAUAGAAAAUAUGCAUUAUUUUUCCUUCCUUAGAACACUUUUAAGUGGUGAUAGUUAGAGUAAUUUAUGUUCAACAAUUAAGUUCUAUGUUUUAAAAUCUGACCCUUGACUCUAGAUUUAGAAAUCUAAAUCUUCGUUUAGGAAAACUUUACAGUUUUCGAAUUUCGAUGACGAAAAUCCAUUAAGGGGGGAGGGAUGUAACACUCCAUAUUUUAAGACGAGACGUCUUAAAUAGAAUUUAUGAUUUAUGGCGAUCAAUUCACACUUUUAAUUGCUUAAUCGACAUUAUUCUAAUAAUUGUCUAUUUAUGCGUCACCUGUUCUUAAUUGAUAAAUAGACAAACCUAAAUAUCUGAUAAAAUAGACGAGAUAAUAAUAUUCUUAAUAUUAUUAUAUGAGAAUAUUUAUUGGAAUAAUAUAUACAAUAUUAUUGUGUAAUAUUUAUUGUACAUAUUCUUUUGGCCUAAUAUUAUUCAGUGUAAUAAUAUUAUCAGUGGAAUAAUGUUAUUCAAAAAUUAACAUUAAUUAUGAAACGAACUGGGUUCAAAACAGAUUUAAAAAUAUACCCUAAUGAGUUAAAUUAAAUGGUAAAGGCCCUAUAUCAAAAUACCUGGAAAAUAUCUUAUAUGCAGAUUAAUUGAAUCUGCGGAUUAAUUGAAUCUGGGUGAAAGAAUCUUCUGUGUAAUCCCUGUGCGUCAUCCCUUGUGACUCACCCUUUGAGCUGUCCCCUGUCAUGAUAAUUCCUGACUCACCCUCACCGUUGCCAACUUGAGCUGUAAGUUCUCCUCCUCCUAUAUAACUGAGGCUUUGCCCCUUAUGUUCCGUGCACUCCUCUCUCUUAUUCUUUGUUACUCUUUCUUUCUUCUUCUUGUUUGUCCGGAUAACACAGAGAGAGAGAGAGAGAGAGAGAGAGAGAGAGAGAGAGAGAGAGAGAGAGAGAGAGAGAGAGAGAGAGAGAGAGAGAGAGAGAGAGAGAGAGAGAGAGACCCAAGCCUUCCUCUUUCCUUAUUCUUUUUCUUCUCUUCUCCUCUCUUUCCUUCUUCUUUCUCAGUUUCGUUCAAGAGACACAGAGACUAUGAGAGAGGGAGAGAGUGAAAUUGAAGGAGAGUGAGAGAAACAGAGACCAAAACACUGAGAGGGAGAGAACCAGAGAUGACUCGUGACCCGACGAACCCGGAGAACCCAUGACCCGAACCCCUUCUUUCCCUUUCCGUGAUUCUUUUUCUUUCGUCCUUGUCUGGCCGAAACAGAGAGGAAAGAGAUCGCGAGGCAGAGAUUCAUGGAGAGCCGAGAACCCGUAAAGUUGAACCUGUCAACGCCGCCGGAGAAAAGGGAUCCAGACCCGAUUUCCGGUGGGUCAUCGGCGGGUCAACAGUGGGUCGUCGGAGGAUGCGUUCCCGGUGAGAUUAUAGGAGAUUUUCGGCGAUUCUUCAUUGGAUUUUCACAGAAAAUCCUUAAGUUGGUUGGGUACUAAGCGUGCGUGUGUGGGUGAUCGGCCUUGCCCCUGUUUUGGGUUCCCUGUCUCGGCCAGCUGUGCGUAUGUGUGUGGUGUUCUUCCUCUGUUUUGCCACUCAGCUAACUAUGGGUGUGGGUGUUGAAUUCUUGUAGUUAUACUUUGAUGGGUUUUGACUGCAAGUUGGCCAAUUGAUUACUGGUAUGGGUGGCCGAAUGAAUUUCUUGUUGGGAUUUUGUGUAUCUGGCCGAUUGAAGUGAUUCAGCCAAUUUAGUGUAUGUGUGUGUCUCGGCUGAGCCAUGUUUUGUGUCUCGGUGAUUAGUAUUUUAGCUAAUUGUGGUUUGAGUUGGAUUUGAUGAUGUAGAAGCUAUAUGGAUUACAGAUUAUGCGUAUUUUUGGUGUCCUCUUCCUCUGUCCAAAUCAUGUUUCCAGUAUGUAGUAAUGUUUGGCCAAAUGGUUUUAGUUAAUAAAUGGUGAUGAUUGGGUUUGAUUUGUGUGCGGCUAUUGAUGAAAGUUUUGUGGGUUGGAGUAGGUUGGAUCUUGUGUUUUGGGUUUUGGGUGAUUUAUGAAUUUGGACUGUAUGGUGAUUUUGGGUACCUUGUUGGUUUCGGCUAUGUGUGUAUUGGCAUGAGGGGUUUCGGGUUCUGAAUAUCUUGGAUUGGUUAUGAUUAUAGAAUUUUGGAUAUUUAGGCUUUGUAGCUUCUUUGGUCAAGUAGUUGUGAGAAGUUGAUUGGUCUUUUAGUCUUGAGGUUUGAUUAGUUAUGGGUAUAUAGGUUUGAUAUAAUUUUUAUAGAAGUUAGGUUUAGGUGUUAUUAUUGAAUAAUAAUAAUAAUAUUAUGUAAAGAAAUUAUAUAAAUAGAGUUAGGAUUUGUGGAUGAUGAUGUUAACACUUUAUGUGUAUACAUAUGUAUUUAUUACAGAUAACGAGUUAAGAGACUGCGGGUGUAACAGUAAGUAUCUUUAUACUUACUAAGGACGAAGCUGAUGGAUUUUUCCAUAAUAUUAUGUUUACUGCUUUAUUUAAUUUGUUUGCGCAUGUGUAAUUUACAUGUUUUAUAUUUUAAUUAAACUGAUUAAUAACAAAGCUGGU